GACGAGCGCUGGCGGCGUGCUUAACACAUGCAAGUCGAACGGAAAGGCCCUGCUUUUGUGGGGUGCUCGAGUGGCGAACGGGUGAGUAACACGUGAGUAACCUGCCCUUGACUUUGGGAUAACUUCAGGAAACUGGGGCUAAUACCGGAUAGGAGCUCCUGCUGCAUGGUGGGGGUUGGAAAGUUUCGGCGGUUGGGGAUGGACUCGCGGCUUAUCAGCUUGUUGGUGGGGUAGUGGCUUACCAAGGCUUUGACGGGUAGCCGGCCUGAGAGGGUGACCGGCCACAUUGGGACUGAGAUACGGCCCAGACUCCUACGGGAGGUAGCAGUGGGGAAUAUUGCACAAUGGGCGGAAGCCUGAUGCAGCAACGCCGCGUGCGGGAUGACGGCCUUCGGGUUGUAAACCGCUUUCGCCUGUGACGAAGCGUGAGUGACGGUAAUGGGUAAAGAAGCACCGGCUAACUACGUG
rnacentral:rRNA from 1 species